rnacentral:lncRNA from 1 species
ACAUAAUUAUAUUCCUAUUGUCAUGUUGGGUCGAGCAGUUAGACCAUGUAGUGUUUUCUCAUUGCACAAUGUUUGCAAAUCAAUAAGGAGAAAGCCUGAACAAUGCGAUGACGUUGGCCAGGAACCCGGCCCGAGUCACCCAGGAGGCGGCUCUGCAGUUUCUCAGGAGGACACAUUUGGACCUGACCUUCACCACUGGUCAUGUGAGAAAGCCUCUAUACCUGGUUCCUCAACGUCUCCGUUUAGAAGACUGCAUCAGCAAAACCAUCCUACCAUGGGAAUUAACUGAUGGAUGUGUCUGGACUUCCCAGGGGGUUCUCCAUGGACAGUAUUGUGCUGUUAAAGACGAGGAGACGGAGACCUAGAGGAAGUCAUUUGUACAAGGCCAUAUGGCUUGCUCCUGAUAGAUCUGGAAUUUGGACUCAGGCAGCCUGGUUCUGGAGCUGAAUUCUGAACUACCUAUAUCAUCCCACCUCAGUCCAGUGAGAGAACGUGUCACCUGAGUGCUCAAGAUACAUCAAGAGCCCGACCAUGUCCUGGAGCCUCUUAAGAGCGAAGCUCAGGGUGCAGGACCUGAGAGGGUGUUAAUCAGCCGCUUCCAUUUUUUUCUUAAUAUGGGAAGACCAGAUUUUGCUUGGCUUCUGGAAACCGCUGCCAUCUUGCUUUUCCUCCUACUUCAGCUCUUGGUCUCCUGUGCAGCUGGCUUUUCCUUCUUCCUGACUUUUCAAGCCCAUCCUUGGACCUCUUAUCUUCUCCAUCAAAAUUCUCUCCCUGGAUGAUUUCACUGAGGCCGAUGGCUUAAAUCCCUUAGAAAUACUGAUAGCUCCAAAUCCCUAUCUUUAGCCUGGCCUCCUGCCCUAGAAUUCACUUGUCUAAGUGCCUAGUGGAUUUCUCCACUUAGAUGUCUCAUAAGCAUUUCAAACCUGCCCAAAACGAAACUUGAUUACCAUCCCCAAACCACUCUUCCCUAAGAAAAUGGUGUCCCCGUUCCACCAGUUGCUCAGGCAAAAACCCUAGCAAUCAGCCUCACUUGCUUUCAUUCUCUCUCAUCUCCCACAUCAAACCCAUUAGCAAAUUCUGUUGGUUCUUUUUUGAAAUGUACUCGGAGGCUACUUCUCACCACAUGCUCUGCUAUGGUUCUAGCCCAAGCCACUGUCAGUCUCUCCCAGAGACACAAGCUGUACCUUCCUAACUCGCACCCCUGUGUGCAUCCCUGUGUGCAUCCCUGCUCACCCAAAGCCAACCCUUUGCAUAUAACCAGAGUGAUUUUUUUGAAAUGUAAAUAAGAACCGGUCACCACCCUAUUCAAAUCCUCCAGGGGCUUCUCAUUUCUCUUAGAACAAAACCCAGACUCCUGACUACAGCCCCAAAGCCCUACAUGAUCCUGCCCCAUUUACAGCUCCAGGCUCAUUACCUACCUCGUGCUCCCAGCCCACGGAUCAUCGCCUACCACAUGCUCCCAGCCCCCGGAUCUCCAGCACAUCAGCCUCUUGGCUCUUCUUAGAACUCCCUGAAUUCACUCCUGUCUCAAGGACUUUCCUGUGCUUUUCCUUAGACAGGAGACACCCCUCCCAGUUCACAUGGCUCACUCGCUUCAUCCAGGUCUCUUCUCCAGUGUCCCCUCCUUGUGACCCCUGGAUCUAAAGGAGUUGAACCACCCCACUCCUACCCUUAUAUUCUCAUAGCUCCUCACGCUGCCUCACUUUUAGCAAGAUUUCAUUAAAAUUUUAUUGCUGUCUAAAAUUCUAUUAUAUAUUUAACCAUUUACUUGUUUAGUAUCUGUGUCUUCCAUUAGCAAGUAAGUUCUGGCCAGGCGUGGUGGCUCACACCUGUAAUCCCAGCACUUUGGGAGGCUGAGGCAGGCAGAUCACCUGAGGUCAGGAGUUUGAGACCAGCCUGGUCAACGUGGUGAAACCCUGUCUCUACUAAAAAUACAAAAAUUUGCCGGGUGUGGUGGCAUGCACCUGUAAUCUCAGCUACUCGGGAGGCUGAGGCAGGAGAAUCGCUUGAACCUGGGAGGUGGAGGCUGCAGUGAGCCAAAAGAAAGAAAGAAAGUAAGUUCCAUGAAGGCAGAAA